UACGGAGGGUGCAAGCGUUAUCCGGAUUCACUGGGUUUAAAGGGUGCGUAGGUGGGCAGGUAAGUCAGUGGUGAAAUCUCUAAGCUUAACUUAGAAACUGCCGUUGAUACUAUCUGUCUUGAAUGUAGUGGAGGUGAGCGGAAUAUGUCAUGUAGCGGUGAAAUGCUUAGAGAUGACAUAGAACACCAAUUGCGAAGGCAGCUUGCUACACUACGAUUGACACUGAGGCACGAAAGCGUGGGGAUCAAACAGG
rnacentral:rRNA from 1 species